rnacentral:sRNA from 1 species
UAAUAGCAAGUAGGAGCGUUAGCGAUUGCAGCGGCAUCCUUUUUGUUUUUUCUACAAAAAGAUAUAGUGGAAAGCGCGGGCGGUU